UACAGAGGUCCCAAGCGUUGUUCGGAAUCAUUGGGCGUAAAGAGCGUGUAGGCGGCCAGAUAAGUCCGCUGUGAAAUCUCGAGGCUCAACUUCGAGCUGUCGGUGGAAACUGUCUGGCUAGAGUCCGGAAGAGGAGAAUGGAAUUCCUGGUGUAGCGGUGAAAUGCGCAGAUAUCAGGAGGAACACCCGUGGCGAAAGCGGCUCUCUGGGACGGUACUGACGCUGAGACGCGAAAGCGUGGGGAGCAAACAGG
rnacentral:rRNA from 1 species